rnacentral:misc_RNA from 1 species
GAUGAAGAACGCAGCGAAAUGCGAUAAGUAGUGUGAAUUGCAGAAUUCAGUGAAUCAUCGAAUCUUUGAACGCACAUUGCGCCCCUUGGUAUUCCAUGGGGCAGGCCUGUUCGAGCGUCAUCUACAACCCUCAAGCCCUGCUUGGUGUUGGGCGUCUGUCCCGCCCCCGCGCGCGGACUCGCCCCAAAUCCAUUGGCGGCGGCCCUUGCCUCCCUCUCGCGCAGCACAUUGCGCUUCUCGAGGCGUCGCGGGCCGCGCUCCACGAAGCACGCAAACCAGUCUUUGACCUCGGAUCAGGUAGGGAUACCCGCUGAACUUAAGCAUAUCAAUAAGCGGAGGA